ACUUGAAUAGUUUAUUAUAAAAUACUGAUUUGUGGGGUCAGAGAGGUCUAUGGACUUUAAGUA
rnacentral:tRNA from 2 species